AAAAAUAUAUCUUGAAUUUAUAUCAUUAUUUUGAUAGGGUAUGAUAUUUAAUAAUAAAUUAAUUCUUGGGAUACAAAUUGUAUGAAAAAUAAUAAUGAAAAAAUCAUAAUAUAUUUUUUGACAUACAUUAUGAUGUCCACUACCAUCCUGGAAAUUUUCAAAUUAAAAUUUAACUUAUGUAUGGAGAAAUAAAAAAAGACAAAUUGUGUUAGGGGUAAAUUGGACCAAAACAUAGUUUAGGGGGUAAAUUGGACCAAAACAUAGUUUAGGGGUUAUCUGAAUUUUGGCUAUACUUGAUGGUAGUAAUUUGAACUCUUUCCAGAUUUAUUAUCAAGAGUAUUUUAAGAUGUAAUAUAUUUACACCUACUUGCACAAAUAGUUCAUAUAAAAUCCGAACAGUGAAACGUUGAACAGUAAAGUCGUAGGAACAUGAACAAUUCCCACUCCAGCAAACACAAGAACUUACUUUAUUCAGUUUCAAACUUUGCAUGAACACGGAUCUUUGCAUCCUCUAUCCCCCCAUAUUUUUUGUUGAAUUUCUUAUGCACUUGUUGAUGUGUUUUUAAUCGAGGGAGUACGGAGUACCGUUGAGAGGGCUGGAGCAUGGGAUAUGUUCUCAACCUAUAUAGGUGGGGAUCCGCCUAUAAAGAGAGAAAUCAAGCAGCCUUGGUUUAGCGAUUGUAUGUAAGAUGGUUUCAGAUAAAUUGGAGUCUUUUUUGAGCCGACUAAUGUCAGAUUUCAAAUCGAGCAAUCGACAAUGUAGAGUCCUUGUAGUCUCUUUCAUUUAUGGACUCCGAGGAAUCCACAAGUGACCUGUUCGUUCAUAUAAUCCUAUAAAGAAAUAACUUUUGUAUGUGGAAAUCUUGAUUCAAACAAGCAACCGAAUUAAGCAUUGAUUUCGAGGCUACCAUGAGAUCCUUACAUAGUAACAUUGGUCAUCUUUGUUACAAAAACAUCAUGAUAGUUUCUAUGGUCCCCUUAUCAUAUCUCAACAAAUUCUGUUUUUCCCACAGGGUCGUGAUGUCUUUGUAUGGAAACACGGGCCUAUUCAAUAAUUUCU
rnacentral:lncRNA from 1 species